CGUUCAGGCCCGCGUUGGAGUUUGCGGUUGCAAGUGAACAGGAGAUACCUGAUGCUGCUGCAAGGACGGAGGCACGCUGGGAUCCGCCGAAGUGGCUUUCGAGGGUCGUGGGGUAGGUUUCGUACUGCUCCAUACCGUAGAGGUUGACCUCGGUUGCGAUGUCGCUGACGGCUUCCUGGGUCGGCUUUGCCUUACCAAUGCCACCGUGUUUCUUCUUGACAUAGUCAAGACCAUAGUAGCAGAAGUCAUCAAGGAUGUUGUCGGUGUAUGCAGCUGUAGCAUACUGUGUGAAUCCGACACCACC
rnacentral:misc_RNA from 1 species